UCCUGGUGGGCGGGGUCGCUCCCGGGGCCAGUGACAGCGAAGACCGGCCCCGGACGAGCCCCCAGUGCAGCCUUCGGGCUCCGCCCCCAGCUCCAGCGCGCUCCCCCCCACCCCGCGCCGUUCCUACUGUCUGGACAGGUCAGGCCAGGCUCAACCACUGAGCUGGAAACUGACCAUGAAGGUCAAGGUUAUUUCAGUUUUGGAAGACAACUACAUGUAUUUGGUCAUUGAAGAGAAUACCAAAGAAGCCAUUGCAGUAGAUGCAACAGUUCCCAAAAGGUUGCUGGAAAUUGUCAGGAAGGAGGAAGUGAAGCUGACUACCAUCUUGACCACUCAUCAUCACUGGGAUCAUUCCAGGGGCAAUGAGGAGCUGGUGCAGCUGGUUCCAGGCCUUCAGGUGUACGGGGCUGAUGAGCGCAUUGGUGCCUUGACACACAAAUUGAUUCACAACCAGGAGCUCAAGUUUGGAGCCAUCUGUGUGCGGUGCUUGCUCACACCUGGCCACACCUUGGGCCAUAUGUGUUACUUCAUGUGGGAAGACAACUGUCCAGAUGCUCCAGCUGUGUUCUCAGGUGAUGCCUUGUUCGUUGGUGGUUGUGGUCGACUCCUAGAAGGGACAGCAGAACAAAUGUACCGGAGCCUCAAUGAAACACUGGGGACUCUGCCCAAGGAAACUAAAGUGUUCUGUGGGCAUGAGUACACUGUCAGGAAUCUCAAGUUUGCUUUGAAGGUGGAACCUGAUAACGAAAAUGUGAAAACAAAGCUGGCUUGGGCCAAAGCUAGAGAUGACGACGACAUACCCACAGUGCCUUCAACCUUAGGAGAGGAGUUUCACUAUAACCCCUUCCUCAGAGUAGCAGAAGAAUCUAUCCAGAAAUAUACUGGGAAAAAGGAUCCAGUGGAAGUCAUGAAAAUUCUACAUACAGAAAACGACAACUUCAAAAAACCUGCAGAGCCACUGGACCCUCGUGCAGUCCUUGCAUUAGAGUGGGGCCUCUUGGGCUCUUUAGUGCAAAAGGAAUGAAGCCAGGAAAACCAGCUCUUGCAAGUUGGACCCCCCUCACCUGACUUUGGCAACACUACAGCUGGAAAGGACUUCUUGAGUGGAACUGAGAUUCAUUAGUAAAUGCUUCAGUGUGUUCAGCAUCACGUCCUGCUGGUCUCUACCAGGAGAGCCACCAGCAGUAACCUCAUCGGAAACCAAAGCAGAUUCAACUAUAGUCACAUCAAGAGCAGUGGUUCUGCCAUCAGCAGCCCAAUAGCCCCACCAACUUGACGAGCCCUGUUUUCUUUUUCCCUGGUGAAAAUAGUUCCCACUAAAAGCAGUCAUUGAGCUGUUUUAAUUUGUGCUACAGCUGUCUUAGAAAAUGUCUCUCAACAUUUAAGAAAGUUAAAAGGCCAAAAGUAAAAGGAGAAUGGUUACUGCCUUGAGGUGAAAUCAAGUUGGUACCUCUAAGUAACUUUCCUGAGUGGCCUUAAUACAUUCACUGCCAAAAGAUCUGGAGCCAGGAAAUGGACACUCUAGGAUCCUUAUCCCACAGAGACUGUUGCCUCUUUAUUGUAAAAGAGAUUACCAAAGCUGAAGUCACAAUUAUGUUACAAGUUAUCAUAUUUACCAUAAUCAGUACUCCAUUAUCCACAUUGGUGCCUCUGGCUCAGGAGAUCCUUGGCUGAGAGCUAGGUGAGAGCUGAGCUAGAACAGGAUGUAUGUCAAUAUCUGCAUGUUUAACUGAGCUCCAAAUUAAAAUAACAAGUGAUAUAACUGGCACUCACUGUGGUUAUAGCUUAAGAAAUGCUUGUUGGUUGACUUAAUGUGGGGGUAAUUUGUACUUUGAUAUUAACUAUUAAUUAUUUCAAUUGGUCUGUGUUCUGGGGGUGCUCAAUGCAAUGAUACAGAUUACAAUCUAUUCAUGUCUAUUCAAACUGUGGAUACUCCUAUCCAUGUGAUGCCCUAAACUGACAGUGCAAUUCCUUGAUCCAUCUUCCCUGGUAGAGGCCUUCCUCUAUAUUGUCUAACAAACACUACAUGGAUACCAAUGGAGCGCAUAGGCUGUUCAUCCCUUGCUCGCUCUUUGUGACUGGUCAAUUUUUUCCUCUCUGAUAACAUCUUUUAUGCGACUUAUCCUAAAUAGUUUUUCAUUUUUAAUGUACUGUAUCCUAUAUUUAUUUACCAUGUGCCUUCCCAUUGCCCUUUAGGUGACCCAUUUCACAACUCAUAGCCAUACAGCAUCAUCUGAAGAAUUUUUAUCUUAAAAGGAUGAGCCUUUGUUUCAGAUUGGAGUUAUUAGGAGCGCUGAACAGCUAAUUGCUUAAAGGCAACCCAAUCCUAUUUCCUUCUCUGGACCAAGCUGACUGUCUAUUUUCAGCAUCUGUUCAAGGCAUAUGUACUGACGAAUCAGCUUUAUCUGCAAAUCAAAGUCUGGACAGCAGACGUUAUUUACUUGUAUUUUUCUGUGUGAUUGGGUGGAAUGCUUUUUAAUGAUCAUGGAUCUCAUUUAAAAGGCUGUAUAAUACAUGGGGUUUAAUGAAAAUGCACAAUGUUAUCUGUAGCGACACAUAGCUGGAGAAUCUCACUAUAGGGAAUUCUUAUUUGGACUCUCGACUAGAAUCCUUAAAUGACAGAAUCAAAUAUAGUUGGCAAGCAUAUCACUCUAUUUUAUGCUUUGCCCAAUAUUCAUAAAUGUUGAAGUUAUCUUGGUUGUCAUAUUGUUCAGAGAAUUAUGUAUAAUUUUGACAUAAAUGGGAAAUACCUUAUUGGAGGAAAACUUCAAGGUAGUGUUUUGCUGUACCAAAUCAAGUUUUAAAAAAAUCAGCAAUACAGUGAGAUCUUGUAUUUUCUCAACUUUCAUUCAACUCUAUAAAUAUGUGGCUUCUUAUAAAAUAUUGUGGAAUCUUGCUGAUUCCCCUCUUAAACCUUCAAGUAUGCCCUCAAAGCAAACACAGAUUAUUCCCACAAAAAUUUUGUUGACAUGGGAAAGUCAAGUCAGUAUAUGGAUUGUUAGUUAUAGAAAAAUUUUCAGUUGUCCUUUAAAAAAUGCAACAAAGUUUAAGAUUUUUUCCCCCAAAAGUUUGGUAUCUUCCCUUUUUUUCAUAAUUUGAGAAUCAACACUAAAAUACUUAAAACUGCCUCACCACCACCAUAGACUUCGUUGGUACAUACAUGGUUCAGUCCAAGAGCUCUUGCUAUUAUUUAUAUUCUAACAUUUAUUUUUAUUUUACAUGUCAGUAGUCUGUCCAAAUCAGAUUGACAAUAGGAUAACUAAAAUGACUCACCCCUUGAUUUAAAAGUUGACUUCCAUAUCAGUAUUGAUACAUCAAGGGAUAAUUGAUCUUACAUUUUUUAUGAUAUAAUUUGGUGCUCACCACAUCAAGUGUCUUCUUAGUCCAAUCAUUUUUUUUUUUUUUAAGAGCAGUCAAGGCUUGCCUUUUAUCCCCCCAAUAGAAUGUACAAUUAUCCCUUCCACAUCUCAACUGUCCCAGCUGAAGUUUUAGUCCAAUCAUUAAUAAAGCAUCCAUGAUAUAGAUAUGAGGCUUCUGUGUUAUCUUGAAGUCUCUAACCUUUUUGUUUUGAUCUAUAUUUUCCAACGUGUUUUUAUCAUGCUCACCUAUGUUCACUUUUGCAGUGAAAUUACGAAGAAUCAACUGGAUUGGGUUCUAAUCCUUUUUUUUUUUGCCAUUAGCUAUGAUGUUUAGUAACCAAGUUAAUACAGACUUAUCUUGGAGGAUCUUACUAUCAAAUUCUUUGUGGAAUUUCUCUACCUCCUCAUAUUACAUGUUGGUGCAUAUGUUGCAGUGAUUUUUAUGACACUUUUUUUUUCAAAUACGUAUGAGGACUAUAAUAAUGAAAUAAUCUACUACUCCCUGAAAUAUUUCUCUUUAUUUGAAUCUUGAAAGAGAAUUUAUCAGCCAUCUUUUCACUUAGCUGCACUUCCUUUUGUCUUCUUGUUACAUUUAUACUGGGAAUCAUUUUCAGACUGGUUAAGAUUCAGGCCUUCCAGUAGUAGAUUCACUUGUUAGUCACUGGUUAUAAACCUCACAUUUAGUUAACUGUUGGAGGGUCAAACUUAUGUGUGAUUGUGAGCACUGCCGCCUCUCUUUUCUGGCACUAUCCUGCUGUCUUUGUAGAAGCUGUAUCUGGAUAACUGGCUAUUUUAUUUUUUCCUUUGUUUUUUGGGUGCUCAUAGAUAGAGAAUUCAUCACUACAUGGCCAAUCUAUUGGUGAAGAACCUACUCCUCAAGAAGUGGACACUGUCUAUUUGUAGCCUCUCCAAUAUUCUACUGGGAUAGCCUUUGAAAAUCCAAGAUCACCCUUUUACUGCAAUGAGGCAUUAAUACUAUGUUAUAAUAGUUUUUACUAUUCCAUAGUAUACUGUUACAAUUACAGAGUGCUUUCUUCACAACCACCUUGGGAAACAGCUUUUUAUUAUUAACGUUUAUACAGAACUUCAUGAAUUUAAACAUAAAUAUUAUAUAAUUUAAUCUUCACAGUAAUCCUGUGGGAAAUGCAAAAAACUAGUAGCAUUCCCAACUUUAUAGACAGGGAAAUCAAGAUUUAAUGGUGACUUAUUUAAGAGCACGAGACUAAUAAAUAUUAAAGAGAUGAGACCUGAA